AGAGUUUGAUCCUGGCUCAGGACGAACGCUGGCGGCGCGCCUAACACAUGCAAGUCGAACGAGCGGAUUCCCUUCGGGGGAGAAGCUAGUGGCGGACGGGUGAGUAACACGUGAGGAACCUGCCUUUCAGUGCGGAAUACCGUUUGGAAACGAACGUUAAUACCGCAUAAUGUAUGAUGAUCGCAUGGUCGACAUACCAAAGAUUUAUCGCUGAGAGAUGGCCUCGCGUCUGAUUAGAUAGUUGGUGAGGUAACGGCCCACCAAGUCUGCGAUCAGUAGCCGGACUGAGAGGUUGAUCGGCCACAUUGGGACUGAGACACGGCCCAGACUCCUACGGGAGGCAGCAGUGGGGGAUAUUGCACAAUGGGCGAAAGCCUGAUGCAGCGACGCCGCGUGAGGGAAGACGGUUUUCGGAUUGUAAACCUCUGUUUUCGGGGACGAAAAUGACGGUACCCGAGGAGGAAGCCACGGCUAACUACGUGCCAGCAGCCGCGGU
rnacentral:rRNA from 1 species